UACGUAGGGUGCAAGCGUUGUCCGGAAUUAUUGGGCGUAAAGAGCUCGUAGGCGGUCUGUUGCGUCGGCUGUGAAAACCCGGGGCUCAACCCCGGGCCUGCAGCCGAUACGGGCAGACUAGAGUUCGGCAGGGGAGACUGGAAAUUCCUGGUGUAGCGGUGAAAUGCGCAGAUAUCAGGAGGAACACCGGUGGCGAAGGCGAGUCUCUGGACGACUCCUGACACUGAGGCACGAAAGCCAGGGGAGCAAACAGG
rnacentral:rRNA from 1 species